AACAGAUUGGUGACCCUCAGUGGAAUUACCAGUAAUAUCAGAUGUUUGCCCUUCAGAAAGAUUGAAGUGAGCACCAGUAGUUAGAUGAGCAGCAACAGUUUUCCUUCAUUUGUUAAACUUGAGGUUUUGUGGAUAACCAUGAAGCUUGUAACACUUAUCAAUUAAGUGCGCAGAUUUCUUUCAGUAUCUACAGAAUAAAGACCCCUUGGUCUUAUCAAAACUGACUCUUUGUGUAUAUUGUCUGAGAGAAGAAGGAUUAGGUACUGUAGCUUGGUUCAUUCCAAAAGAAGAUGCAAGACUUUUGUUUGUAUUAACACUGAAAGACAUGGAAUCAGGAUUGAAUUGAGAGUUGGAUUGGACUUGUCUUUGUUUCUCAUCAUUAAGGAGAAUGUUAUACACACUGUCAAGACUAGGGGGAGGUUGCAUCAUCAACAAGUUGCUCCUUACCCCUAUAUAUGUCUCAUUAAGGCCCAUGAGAAAUUGGAACACCUUAUUUUUCUCAUGUCAAGUGUAGGGGGAGGUUGCAUCAUCAACAAGUUACUCCUUACCCCCAUAUAUGUCUCAUUAAGGCCCAUGAAAAAUUGGAACACCUUAUUUUCCUCAUCCUCUUGUAUGAUCCCUAUUUUGGCAGCACAAAUGCACCUUUGGCCAUGGUUUGUACACACUACUACCAAUUAAUCCCUUAAACCUUUGAGUUUGAUAAAAUAUGAUGCUAUAUCUAGAGAACCUUGAGAAGUGUGAAUAAGUUCUCUUUUGAAAACUUUUGGUCCUAUUAGCACUACCAUAUCUGGCUUGCAGUUGUGCCCAUAUACUUUGUGCAAUCUCAGAAUAUUGCAC
rnacentral:lncRNA from 1 species